rnacentral:rRNA from 1 species
UACGUAGGUGGCGAGCGUUGUCCGGAUUUACUGGGCGUAAAGAGCGCGCAGGCGGCUGGUCAAGUCCGAUGUGAAAGCUCCCGGCUUAACUGGGAAAUUGCAUCGGAAACUGAUCGGCUGGAAGGUGGGAGAGGGUAGCGGAAUUCCCGGUGUAGUGGUGAAAUGCGUAGAUAUCGGGAGGAACACCAGUGGCGAAAGCGGCUUCCUGGCCCAUUCUUGACGCUGAGGCGCGAAAGCUAGGGGAGCAAACGGG